GGGACACGUGGUAUCCUGUCUGAAUAUGGGGGGACCAUCCUCCAAGGCUAAAUACUCCUGACUGACCGAUAGUGAACCAGUACCGUGAGGGAAAGGCGAAAAGAACCCCGGCGAGGGGAGUGAAAAAGAACCUGAAACCGUGUACGUACAAGCAGUGGGAGCACGCUUAGGCGUGUGACUGCGUACCUUUUGUAUAAUGGGUCAGCGACUUAUAUUCUGUAGCAAGGUUAACCGAAUAGGGGAGCCGAAGGGAAACCGAGUCUUAACUGGGCGUUAAGUUGCAGGGUAUAGACCCGAAACCCGGUGAUCUAGCCAUGGGCAGGUUGAAGGUUGGGUAACACUAACUGGAGGACCGAACCGACUAAUGUUGAAAAAUUAGCGGAUGACUUGUGGCUGGGGGUGAAAGGCCAAUCAAACCGGGAGAUAGCUGGUUCUCCCCGAAAGCUAUUUAGGUAGCGCCUCGUGAAUUCAUCUCCGGGGGUAGAGCACUGUUUCGGCAAGGGGGUCAUCCCGACUUACCAACCCGAUGCAAACUGCGAAUACCGGAGAAUGUUAUCACGGGAGACACACGGCGGGUGCUAACGUCCGUCGUGAAGAGGGAAACAACCCAGACCGCCAGCUAAGGUCCCAAAGUCAUGGUUAAGUGGGAAACGAUGUGGGAAGGCCCAGACAGCCAGGAUGUUGGCUUAGAAGCAGCCAUCAUUUAAAGAAAGCGUAAUAGCUCACUGGUCGAGUCGGCCUGCGCGGAAGAUGUAACGGGGCUAAACCAUGCACCGAAGCUGCGGCAGCGACGCUUAUGCGUUGUUGGGUAGGGGAGCGUUCUGUAAGCCUGUGAAGGUGUGCUGUGAGGCAUGCUGGAGGUAUCAGAAGUGCGAAUGCUGACAUAAGUAACGAUAAAGCGGGUGAAAAGCCCGCUCGCCGGAAGACCAAGGGUUCCUGUCCAACGUUAAUCGGGGCAGGGUGAGUCGACCCCUAAGGCGAGGCCGAAAGGCGUAGUCGAUGGGAAACAGGUUAAUAUUCCUGUACUUGGUGUUACUGCGAAGGGGGGACGGAGAAGGCUAUGUUGGCCGGGCGACGGUUGUCCCGGUUUAAGCGUGUAGGCUGGUUUUCCAGGCAAAUCCGGAAAAUCAAGGCUGAGGCGUGAUGACGAGGCACUACGGUGCUGAAGCAACAAAUGCCCUGCUUCCAGGAAAAGCCUCUAAGCAUCAGGUAACAUCAAAUCGUACCCCAAACCGACACAGGUGGUCAGGUAGAGAAUACCAAGGCGCUUGAGAGAACUCGGGUGAAGGAACUAGGCAAAAUGGUGCCGUAACUUCGGGAGAAGGCACGCUGAUACGUAGGUGAAGUCCCUCGCGGAUGGAGCUGAAAUCAGUCGAAGAUACCAGCUGGCUGCAACUGUUUAUUAAAAACACAGCACUGUGCAAACACGAAAGUGGACGUAUACGGUGUGACGCCUGCCCGGUGCCGGAAGGUUAAUUGAUGGGGUCAGCGCAAGCGAAGCUCUUGAUCGAAGCCCCGGUAAACGGCGGCCGUAACUAUAACGGUCCUAAGGUAGCGAAAUUCCUUGUCGGGUAAGUUCCGACCUGCACGAAUGGCG
rnacentral:rRNA from 1 species